rnacentral:rRNA from 1 species
AUUGAACGCUGGCGGCAUGCCUUACACAUGCAAGUCGAACGGCAGCACGGGAGCAAUCCUGGUGGCGAGUGGCGAACGGGUGAGUAACAUAUCGGAACGUGCCCAGUCGGGGGGGAUAACGCAGCGAAAGCUGUGCUAAUACGGCAUGCGAUCUCUGGAUGAAAGCGGGGGACUCGCAAGGGCCUCGCGCGAUUGGAGCGGCCGAUAUCAGAUUAGCUAGUUGGUGGGGUAAAGGCUCACCAAGGCGACGAUCUGUAGCUGGUCUGAGAGGACGACCAGCCACACUGGAACUGAGACACGGUCCAGACUCCUACGGGAGGCAGCAGUGGGGAAUUUUGGACAAUGGGCGCAAGCCUGAUCCAGCAAUGCCGCGUGCAGGAUGAAGGCCUUCGGGUUGUAAACUGCUUUUGUACGGAACGAAACGGUUUGCCCUAAUACGGUGGACUAAUGACGGUACCGUAAGAAUAAGCACCGGCUAACUACGUGCCAGCAGCCGCAGUAAUAC